GCAGUCGAACGGCAGCACGGGCUUCGGCCUGGUGGCGAGUGGCGAACGGGUGAGUAAUAUAUCGGAACGUACCCAAGAGUGGGGGAUAACGUAGCGAAAGUUACGCUAAUACCGCAUACGAUCUAAGGAUGAAAGCAGGGGACCGCAAGGCCUUGUGCUCCUGGAGCGGCCGAUAUCUGAUUAGCUAGUUGGUGAGGUAAAGGCUCACCAAGGCGACGAUCAGUAGCUGGUCUGAGAGGACGACCAGCCACACUGGAACUGAGACACGGUCCAGACUCCUACGGGAGGCAGCAGUGGGGAAUUUUGGACAAUGGGCGCAAGCCUGAUCCAGCAAUGCCGCGUGAGUGAAGAAGGCCUUCGGGUUGUAAAGCUCUUUUGUCAGGGAAGAAACGGUAGAGGCUAAUAUCCUUUGCUAAUGACGGUACCUGAAGAAUAAGCACCGGCUAACUACGUGCCAGCAGCCGCGGUAAUACGUAGGGUGCAAGCGUUAAUCGGAAUUACUGGGCGUAAAGCGUGCGCAGGCGGUUUUGUAAGUCUGUCGUGAAAGCCCCGGGCUCAACCUGGGAAUUGCGAUGGAGACUGCAAGGCUUGAAUCUGGCAGAGGGGGGUAGAAUUCCACGUGUAGCAGUGAAAUGCGUAGAGAUGUGGAGGAACACCGAUGGCGAAGGCAGCCCCCUGGGUCAAGAUUGACGCUCAUGCACGAAAGCGUGGGGAGCAAACAGGAUUAGAU
rnacentral:rRNA from 1 species